CCUACGGGAGGCAGCAGUGGGGAAUAUUGGGCAAUGGGCGCAAGCCUGACCCAGCAACGCCGCGUGAAGGAAGAAUGCUUUCGGGUUGUAAACUUCUUUUUUCAGGGACGUAGCAAGUGCCGGUACCUGAGUAAUAAGCCACGGCUAACUACGUGCCAGCACCCGCGGUAAUACGUAGGUGGCAAGCGUUAUCCGGAUUUACUGGGUGUAAAGGGCGUGUAGGCGGGAAAGCAAGUCAGAUGUGAAAACAAUGGGCUCAACCGUUGGACUGCAUUUGAAACUGUUUUUCUUGAGUACUGGAGAGGUAGACGGAAUUCGUGGUGUAGCGGUGAAAUGCGUAGAUAUUAGGAAGAACACCGGUGGCGAAGGCAGUCUGCUGGACAGCAACUGACGCUGAGGCGCGAAAGCGUGGGGAGCAAACAGGAUUAGAUACCCGAGUAGUC
rnacentral:rRNA from 1 species